rnacentral:rRNA from 2 species
AAACUAACAAGGAUUCCCCUAGUAACUGCGAGUGAAGCGGGAUGAGCUCAAAUUUAAAAUCUGGCGUCUUCGGCGUCCGAGUUGUAAUUUAGAGAAGCGUUUUCCGCGCCGGACCGUGUACAAGUCUCCUGGAACGGAGCGUCAUAGAGGGUGAGAAUCCCGUCUUUGACACGGACCCCCGGUGCUCUGUGAUACGCUCUCGAAGAGUCGAGUUGUUUGGGAAUGCAGCUCAAAAUGGGUGGUGAACUCCAUCUAAAGCUAAAUAUUGGCGAGAGACCGAUAGCGAACAAGUACCGUGAGGGAAAGAUGAAAAGCACUUUGGAAAGAGAGUGAAACAGUACGUGAAAUUGUUGAAAGGGAAACGCUUGAAGUCAGUCGCGUCUGUCAGGGUUCAGCCUCACGGUGUACUCUCUGGUAGACGGGCCAGCAUCACUUUCGAUCGUCGGACAAGGGAGUUGGGAAUGUGGCACCUUCGGGUGUGUUAUAGCCCUUCUUCGUAUACGGCGACCGGGAGUGAGGACCGCCUUUGUAGGAUGCUGGCGUAAUGGCUUUAAACGAC